GACAGAGGGUGCAAACGUUGCUCGGAUUUACUGGGCGUAAAGCGCAUGUAGGCUGGAAUCUAAGUCGGGUGUGAAAUCCCUGGGCUCAACCUAGGAACUGCACCCGAAACUGGAUUCCUGGAGUGGUGGAGAGGAAAGCGGAAUUCCGGGUGUAGAGGUGAAAUUCGUAGAUAUCCGGAGGAACACCAGUGGCGAAGGCGGCCUUCUGGACACCAACUGACGCUGAGAUGCGAAAGCGUGGGGAGCAAACAGG
rnacentral:rRNA from 1 species